rnacentral:rRNA from 1 species
CAGCAGCAGCCGCGGGAAUACGAAGGGGGCUAGCGUUGUUCGGAUUUACUGGGCGUAAAGCGCACGUAGGCGGAUCGAUCAGUCAGGGGUGAAAUCCCAGAGCUCAACUCUGGAACUGCCUUUGAUACUGUCGAUCUGGAGUAUGGAAGAGGUGAGUGGAAUUCCGAGUGUAGAGGUGAAAUUCGUAGAUAUUCGGAGGAACACCAGUGGCGAAGGCGGCUCACUGGCCCAUUACUGACGCUGAGGUGCGAAAGCGUGGGGAGCAAACAGGAUUAGAUACCCGGGUAGUCCCUGUCUCUUAUAC